AAUGUUUUAUAUAUAUAUAUAUGUAACAUGUAAUCUGUAAAAUAUCAUCUUUAUUGUGCCAUUCUGCUAAUUGUACAUUUGUUGAUUACAUCCUGUGGUACUGGUUUAUGCUGUUGAAAAGGGGCUGUCCUUUAUUUCCUUUAUGUCCUGAGCACCUCACUGCUUGUUUAUUUUCAUUUGCUAGGGUGAGUAACCCCUCACAGUACAUUUUGGAAAGAAAUCCAAACACGUACAUAGGAUGAAAGCAUUCUGUUUUUUACUCUGCUGUGUAUAAUUGAAGGACAGUUCCUUCUCCACACUCGAUACUCUGUCAUUUAUACUUGCCCUGCCCUGUAGAUAUAGGGAUGUUUCUCACUAUUGUUCUAUCAGUGAGGGUUUAUUUUCAGUUGGAGCCCAUAAUACAUUUCCUUGGUGUGGCUCAUCUGCAAUGUGAAUGAACUUUCUGCCUAUUGUUGUCCCCUACUGGUAUAGCUUUUCAGGAUGUCAUUCAGGUUUUUUCUUGCACAGCGGAACAUGAAUACAGGAAACUGCAAAGGAUAGUUGAUGUGAAAUAAAGGUUUGAAAGGUUUGCUUUUAUGUUCAAGGAAAUUAGAUUGUAGCACUGUCUACUGUCCCACUUCUAAUACUUUGGACAUCAGCUCUGUAACUGAAAAAACUUCCUUUGAUCUCAUACUUGCACAUAAUUAACACCUCAACUUGCUGUUUAAAAAGGUGUUAGGGAGCAGGGCAGUACUGGCUUCCACCCAGGGGACUGGAAGCCAAGAGCUCGUCGUGAUCACACAGCUGCAGGGCAGAUGCUUAGUCAGCACUUAUCUGAGUAGGGCAUAACCAGCAGAGAUGCUCAGGUAUAGCUCACAGCUGGGGGCAUCAGGCAAGGCUCUGGUUACAGGGUCUGAGGCUAGGCCAGGAUGUCAAUCUGCAGUGAGACCAUUUGAUUUUGCUUGGGGUAGCUGGGAGUGUACAUGCCAUCAGUUAUAACAGCUCAUCUGACAGACAGGAGCAGGUAAAAUACUGUACCCUGUUUUUGCUAAGUCAUGUACUUAUUUCCUUAUUGUGGACUAUAUUAAUAUGUAUCGGGGCAUUUGUUCUAAAGACAGCAGAGUUGUAAAUCUGAUUAUAUAUGGUGAUAAAUGUGAAAUAUGAUGCAAAGUGUGAGGUGAGAAUAAGACCGUUUGAACUGUGAAUAAGAGGUUUUGUAAGACAGGAAGAUACUUUUCAGGGAAGUCUGAAUUAGGGCAAAUGUGAAAGAAUUAUCAAAUAAUGUGUCAUGUGCUGUUGUUUUCAUUGCUUUGAAAUGAUAGGUCCUUACUGCUAACUGGAAAUCUGAGGAAUUAGGACAGCAUCCUGUAUCUGAACAUCCUUCUUUAAGAAUGAUGCCUGAGUGCCUUUAGGCCUGCGUCCUUAGUGUCUGGGAGUGUUUGGGAGCAU
rnacentral:lncRNA from 1 species